AUUUCUUUUCUUUUUUGUUUUUGCUAGGAUAUGCCAGGCAACAACCUAGGAAAUAAUAAGAUUGGAGCAGGAGAAAGUUGCUUCUAACCUCAGGACAGUGUGACAACAGUGACCUGUGAAACCACAGGUCUCAAACAGCAUGUCAUCUCAUACUGUCUUCAGUCAUAACCUGCUCGCUGACUUUCAAUCUUCACCAGUCAUCAACAGAAGAAUGUUAAACAUGCACCGCUGAUGCCACCUGACCUCUAUGCAACAGAUGAGCUGACCAGAGAGGCAGCAGGUCCCGAUCUUCCAAGACAUUCAGAACCCCCACGUGCACAGCCCUAAGAAACCUGAGCUGAGGCGUCGGACCAGGCCAUCUGCAGAGAUUCCCAUCCACCUCCGUUGUUCCG